GGCCUCGUAGCUCAGUUGGCUAGAGCGUUGGCUGUACUAAAACAUUUUCCCCUUGCUGGCGAGGGUUUGAAUCCCACCGAGGCCG
rnacentral:tRNA from 1 species